AGAAUUAUAUGCUGGAUAUACAAGAGACUCAUGACCCAAACUGGGACAACAGGAAUGGCUUCCUGGAAGAAGAGACAUCUGAGCCCAGACCUGGAAGAAUAAGAGCCGGGUCUCCUUUCUGAAAAGUCUCACUUCAAGCCAUGGUGUAUAAAGACACAAAGCUGACUUACUGCUGGGUACGUGUGUCCAACAGAAGCACUGUGUCUACCAAUGUCUAUGGAGAGGUCCUCUUCAGUGGUUUUCAAGUACACAGGAUUGUCAAAGUUCAUGC
rnacentral:lncRNA from 10 species